rnacentral:rRNA from 1 species
UACGAAGGGGGCUAGCGUUGCUCGGAAUUACUGGGCGUAAAGGGCUCGUAGGCGGCCAACUAAGUCAAACGUGAAAUCCCUCGGCUUAACCGGGGAACUGCGUCUGAUACUGGAUGGCUUGAGUUUGGGAGAGGGAUGCGGAAUUCCAGGUGUAGCGGUGAAAUGCGUAGAUAUCUGGAGGAACACCGGUGGCGAAGGCGGCAUCCUGGACCAACACUGACGCUGAGGAGCGAAAGCCAGGGGAGCAAACGGG